GACAGAGGUGGCGAGCGUUGUUCGGAGUUACUGGGCGUAAAGCGUACGUAGGCGGCUGGAUAAGUCCUGUGUGAAAUCCCCCCGCUCAACGGGGGAACGGCAUGGGAGACUGUUCGGCUAGAGGGUUGGAGAGGAGAGUGGAAUUCCCGGUGUAGCGGUGAAAUGCGUAGAGAUCGGGAGGAACACCUGUAGCGAAGGCGGCUCUCUGGACAACCCCUGACGCCCAAGUACGAAAGCGUGGGGAGCAAACAGG
rnacentral:rRNA from 1 species